rnacentral:rRNA from 1 species
AAUGAACGUUGGCGGCGUGGAUUAGGCAUGCAAGUCGAGCGAGAAAGAUCCUUUGCUUGCAUUGGAUCUGGAAAGCGGCGAAAGGGAGAGUAACGCGUAGGAUACCUACCCCCAGGUCUGGGAUAGCGGCGGGAAACUGCCGGUAAUACUAGAUGAUGUCCCCGGACCAAAGGUGAGAUUCCGCCUGGGGAUGGUCCUGCGUCCUAUUAGCUUGUUGGUGAGGUAACGGNUCACCAAGGCUAAGAUGGGUAGCGGGCGUGAGAGCGUGGCCCGUCUCACUGGGACUGAGACACUGCCCAGACACCUACGGGUGGCUGCAGUCGAGAAUCUUCCGCAAUGGACGCAAGUCUGACGGAGCGACGCCGCGUGCGGGAUGAAGGCCUUCGGGUUGUAAACCGCUGUCAGUGGGGUGGAAAUCGUAUGGGGCUAUCCCCAUAUGUUGACCUAACCGCAGAGGAAGUCCGGGCUAAGUACGUGCCAGCAGCCGCGGUAAU